rnacentral:misc_RNA from 1 species
UGGUUCUGGCAUCGAUGAAGAACGCAGCGAAAUGCGAUAAGUAAUGCGAAUUGCAGAAUUCAGUGAGUCAUCGAAUCUUUGAACGCAUAUUGCGCCCUUUGGCAUUCCGAAGGGCAUGCCUGUUCGAGCGUCAUUAUCAACCAUCAAGCCUAGCUUGUCGUUGGACUCUUUAUGAUUGAAAUAUAUCGUAGGUCCGAAAGAUAAUGACGGUGUCAUGUUUGACCCUAAAUGCAACGAGCUUUUUUUUAUAGCACGCAUUGAAGUUGGUCAGCUGACCCGGUCUUAACCAUUAUUUUCUAAGGUUGACCUCGGAUCAGGUAGGAAUACCCGCUGA